UUACCUCAGCGCACCUUCCUGCUGAUGAACCUCAGCUGCUCUCUAGACGUUCAGCAGCAGUCAAAACGUCAAUGACCUGUUGUGCACCACAGACGAUACCAGAACACAGGUUGUUGAAACGCUAAGAAGUGUUGAAAAAGAUGAGUAGAUUCAUGCGUCAAAGGUCAACCAGCCUAUUGUUAAGUGUGAGAGGGCAUGGCUGCAGCGCACCGUCAGCAGGAGGGCAGGGAGGAUGUGCAGUCAUUAGGCCUGAACUUUAACUCUGUGUUGAUGAAAGCUGGAGGAGGGUUCAUGGAAGGAUGGUGGACCAGUGUCCGCACAAGCAGCAGACCCACAAUCGAUCCUCUGAGUGACUUCAGGGAACACCUCUUCCUGAUGGGGUACAGGACGCAACCUGCUUACGUAAAUAAGCCGGGGGAGAAAGCGCGGGGUGCCAAAGCUGAGAGGAAACUUCAUGCAGACGCCUCACAGCAACCUUCUGAAGAUAUCGACCUUCAGACCAGGGCAACUUUUGACUGUCCUGCAUCACACAGUGUGUCCUGUUUUCCCCCUCUAUUAUUUGUAGUCUUGUUGUUUCGUGGUCAUCCUCCAGACGACUGGCAUAACUCAUGGAUGUUGGGAUUUUUUCCAUCUUCUCAUUUAUCUCCGUAUCGCUGGGCGACUGCAGUCACGCUGAGCAUCCUGCUGUAAUGAGGCCAGGUCUAUGAGGCCAGGGGAUGUGCUCGCAUAAAUACAGACAUACAGGACCAACAAAGCCUGCCCCUGUUUUUUUCUCACUAUUAUAUAAACGUCAAAAUAGUUUAAACAAAGGAAAACAAAUAACUCCACAGGUUGGGAUGUUUAUACCGUAAGUGGCAUGAGGCCAUGAUCAACCUGACAGUAAUAUUUAUAUCCAUGUAUCCACCCAGGAAACAUGUUUGUGCAAUUCAACCCUUAUCAACAUUUUUUUGGUCAAAUAAAACAUAUUCCUGCAUAUUUCUGGUCGCAUUCCGAAGGGUUUUGCCAAAGUUUUUUUUGGAUUGGCCCUUGAGCUAACUAAAGGGAACUUCCUGUGGAGCGUCUGGGACCACGUCGGAGUCUGAUGAUUUAAUGUGACAGCUGAUAAUGAAACAAACAGGUUGGUGUGUCUGUUGGCUCUGAUUUGGAUUUGAGUGGACACUGGCAGGCUGCACCCUGGCCCUCUUUAUCGCUAAAUAAAGAUCCACUUGGUGGAUACACUUAGAUAACAUAAAUCAGGAUAUCCCAUCAGGAGUGACGAAGUGCACUAUUGUUUUGGUUCAAGUGGGCAGCCAUCCUGACAGUGUAUACUGGUCAUGAGGACGGGACGUUCUCCAUUGAAUUUCACAUGGGUCCUGUCAGAAAUCCCGAUCUCGUUAUACAAUGAGUUACCCGAGGAGACCACAUGCAAAACCAGCUAGUAGAUGUGCUGCUUAUAAAAGUUUAAUGUGCUUCAAUAUCUUGAUUGAAUAAGUAAACUCCCCUUCAUUUUGCAACUUUAAUUAACCCUUGUGUGGUGUUCGGGUCUGUGGGACCCAGCUUGUGUUGUGCACCUGAAUGGGUUAAAUUUCAAGUUCAAAGAAAUAAAAGUCAGUACGG
ensembl:lncRNA